AUUGAACGCUGGCGGCAUGCUUUACACAUGCAAGUCGAACGGUAACAGGCCUUCGGGUGCUGACGAGUGGCGGACGGGUGAGUAAUGCAUCGGAACGUACCCAGAGGUGGGGGAUAACGCAGCGAAAGCUGUGCUAAUACCGCAUGUGAUCUGAGGAUGAAAUCGGGGGACCGAGCAGCAAUGUUUGGCCUCGCGCCUUUGGAGCGGCCGAUGUCGGACUAGCUAGUUGGGGGGGUAAAGGCCUACCAAGGCGACGAUCCGUAGCUGGUCUGAGAGGACGGUAGGCCACACUGGGAGUGAGCCAGCGCCCAGACUCCUACGGGACGGCGCAGUCGGGAACUUUGGACAAUGGGCGGAAGUCUGAUACAGCGAUGGCGCGUGCGAGAAGACGGCCUUGGGGUUGUGAACAGGUUUUGGCAGGAAUGAACCGGUGUCGGCUAAUACCGAGCGUUAAUGACGGUACCUGCAGAAUAAGCACCGGCUAACUACGUG
rnacentral:rRNA from 1 species